UGGAGUAUGUGGUUAAUUCGAUGCAACGCGAAGAACCUUACCUGGUCUUGACAUCCCGGAGACCCUUAGGAAACUAGGGGGUGCUUCCAUCUGGAAGAAUCUGGAGACAGGUGCUGCAUGGCUGUCGUCAGCUCGUGUCGUGAGAUGUUGGGUUAAGUCCCGCAACGAGCGCAACCCUUGCCUUUAGUUGCCAGCAGUUCGGCUGGGCACUCUAAAGGGACUGCCGGUGUUAAACCGGAGGAAGGUGGGGAUGACGUCAAGUCCUCAUGGCCUUUAUGACCAGGGCUACACACGUACUACAAUGGCCGAUACAAAGGGCAGCGACACUGCGAGGUGAAGCCAAUCCCGUAAAAUCGGUCUCAGUCCGGAUUGGAGUCUGCAACUCGACUCCAUGAAGUUGGAAUCGCUAGUAAUCGUGGAUCAGCAUGCCACGGUGAAUACGUUCCCGGGCCUU
rnacentral:rRNA from 1 species